rnacentral:rRNA from 1 species
CGAGAUGGCACCGUCUGGGCGAAAGGGAGUCCGGUUCCUAUUCCGGAACCCGGCAGCGGAACCGCUCCAAUUCGGGCCCUCAUCCGAGGACUCGUCGGGGUGACCCGAAAUGACCCGGAGAAGCCGUAGGGAGGUCCGGGGAGAGUUGUCUCUUCUCUAUAAGCGUUCGAGUUCCCUGGAAGCCUCUAGGAGGGAGAUAGGGUUUGGAACGCGAAGAGCACCGCACUUACGGCGGUGUCCGGAUCUUCCCCUCGGACCUUGAAAAUCCGGGCGAGGGCCACGAGGAACACCGCGCCGGCUCGUACCCAUAUCCGCAGCAGGUCUCCAAGGUGAAUAGCCUCUAGUCGAUAGAAUAAUGUAGGUAAGGGAAGUCGGCAAACCCGAUCUGUAACUUCGGGAUAAGGAUUGGCUCUGAGGAUCGUGGCGCGCCGGGCUUGGUCGGGAAGUGGAGCGGUGCCAACGUGCCGGGCCUGGGCGAGGUGAAGGGCGCUCGUCGUCCGGAUCUAGCUCGGUCCCGUGCCUUGGCCACCCACGGACCUUC